UACGUAGGUGGCAAGCGUUGUCCGGAAUUAUUGGGCGUAAAGCGCGCGCAGGCGGCCUCUUAAGUCUGAUGUGAAAGCCCCCCGGCUCAACCGGGGAGGGCCAUUGGAAACUGGGAGGCUUGAGUAUAGGAGAGAAGAGUGGAAUUCCACGUGUAGCGGUGAAAUGCGUAGAGAUGUGGAGGAACACCAGUGGCGAAGGCGACUCUUUGGCCUAUAACUGACGCUGGAGGCGCGAAAGCGUGGGGAGCAAACAGG
rnacentral:rRNA from 1 species